UCUCGAUUGGUCUAGUGGUCAGGAUACCUGCUUGUCAAUGAACAAGUUCGCAGGUGGCCGGGGUUCGAUUCCCCGAUCGAGAG
rnacentral:tRNA from 2 species